rnacentral:rRNA from 1 species
AUGGCAGAGGGGGUUGUCGGCAUGCUGAUUCUGAAGCUUGGCUCAGCCUUGGCCAUAGAAGCAAUCAAGGUUGGUACAGGGAAGCUAUGCCGUCAAGCUAAAGCUUCUUCUAUUGCCAGGCUGUUUGGUCAGAUCCGUGAUAUCAAGGAGGAGCUGGAGAGCAUGCAGUCGUUUCUACAAGAAGCCGAGAGGUUCAAGGAUACUGACAAUACCACUGCCAGCUUCAUCAACAAGAUACGAGGCCUUGCUUUCGAGAUCGAGGAUGUUGUUGACGAGUUCACCUACAAGUUAGAGGACAAACAUGGUGGCUUUUCUGUGAAGAUCAAGCGGCAGUUUAAGAGAAUCAGUACCUGGCGCCGUCUGUCACUGAAAUUGAGAGACAUCAAACUGAAAUUAGAGAAUGUUGAUAGGAGAAAGGCCCGGUAUGACAUGAGAGGAAUUGCAAUCGAAGCUAGAAACAGUGAUGCUCAUUGCAGAUCUACAGAUCAGACUUCAUACUUCCCAAUAGAAGAAAAUCUUGUCGGCAUUGAUGAGAGUAAGAAUCUGCUGAUUAAUUGGUUGACAAGUGAUUUCCAACAGGAGAAUGUAAUUAGCACAGUAUGGGGGAUGGGAGGAGUAGGCAAGACCACUUUGGUUGCCCAUGUUUACAACACUUUGAAGAUUGACUUCGACUGUGCUGCAUGGGUAACUGUCUCAAAAGCAUACCAGGUUCAGGACUUGUUAAAGCAGAUUAUCAGGGAGUUACAGAAGAGCGACUUGAAGGGUGAACUUCGCGUUGAUAUUGUUGACAUGGAAAAGAGAAGCCUAGUUGAGAUCAUCCGUGAUUUCCUGCGUGGCAAGAAGUAUCUUCUGGUUCUAGAUGAUGUCUGGGGUAUUGAUAUCUGGUUCAAAAUAAGAGAUGCUUUCCCUACUAACAGCACCAGCCGGUUUGUAAUCACGUCAAGAAUCCAUGAUGUAGCGUUGCUGGCUACUGGAAAUUGCAUGGUUGAAUUGAAACCACUAGAAGCGCACCACUCAUGGGAAUUGUUCUGUAAAGAGGCGUUUUGGAAAAAUGAAAACAGAAUAUGUCCGGAGGAGCUACAGUUUUUGGCACAAAGAUUUGUGGACAAGUGUAAUGGCUUGCCCAUUGCUAUUGCAUGCAUAGGUCGUUUACUGUCCUGCAAAAGCCAAACUCAUUCUGAAUGGGAAAAAUUGUACAAGGAAUUAGAAGUGCAGUUGACAAACAAUGCGAUUCUUGAUGUUAACAUAGUUCUAAUGGUCAGUUUGGGGGAUCUUCCAUAUAUUUUGAAGAACUGCUUUCUUCAUUGUAUUGUAUUUCCAGAGGAUUAUUUGAUCAAAAGGAAAAGACUGAUUAGACAUUGGGUGACAGCAGGAUUCAUCAGGGAAACAGAGCACAAAACAAUGGAGGAAGUGGCAGAGGGCUAUUUGUAUGAACUUGUAAAUCGAAGCCUAUUGCAGGUAGUGGAGAGGAAUGAAAGUGGACGUGUGCGGAGUUGCCGAAUGCAUGAUAUCAUUCGCCUUCUUGCUCUGGCUAAAUCAAAUGAGGAAAGGUUCUGUAGAGUUCAUGAUGGCUCAGUGAGUUCUUCAGCAGAAAAUACACGCCGCCUAUCAAUCCAAAGCCCCAAUAUUGAGCAGUUGACUCUUUCAAGUGAAGUUCAGCUCCGUUCAAUCUAUGUUUUUGACAAUGGUCUGACAAUUGAUUCACUGAAGCCUUUCUUGAAAUCUUUCAAGUUGCUAUCAACUUUAGAUCUACAAGGUUCCAAAAUUAGGAGGCUACCAAAUGAGAUUUUCAACAUGUUUAAUCUGCGGUUUCUGGGUCUUAGAGAUACCGAGGUUGAGGAUAUUCCGAAAACAGUUGGAAGACUACAGAAAUUGGAAGUUUUGGAUGCUUACAAUGCUAAGCUGUUGAGUUUGCCGGAGAGUGUGGUGACACUUAGGAAGUUGAGAUAUCUAUAUGUUGCUACUGAUCCAAAGACAAAUAUUAAAGGAGUUGUUGCCUGGACUGGAAUCCAGGUGCCUAAUGGAAUAAGGCACUUGACAGACUUGCAAGCCUUGCAACUUGUUGAGGCAAGCUCAGAGACUUUGUGUCAUCUUGGUGCUUUGACAGAGUUGAGAACUUUGUCCAUCACCAAAGUGCAGAGAGAACAGUGUGUUGAUUUGUGCAAUGCUAUCAUGAAUAUGACCCAUCUUGUUAGUCUUGCAAUUAUGGCUAUAAACGAGAAAGAAACACUGGAACUGGAAGAGCUCUGCUUACCCCCUACGCUCUCGAAGCUUGAAAUAGGAGGGCAACUAGAUAGGAAACGGAUGCCUCAGAUUGUCUCGUCCUUCUCAGACCAUGAAAACAUUACCUUGUUGGCCUUAGCCUUCUCCAAACUUGAUGAAGACUCAUUUUCAUGCCUGCUGGUGUUACAUGGUCUACGUGCACUUUGGCUUGAUAAGGCCUAUGAAGGGAAGAGGCUGCACUUCAAUGCCAUGACAUUUCCAAAACUGCGACUGCUAUCAAUCUCAGAUGCACCUCAGCUCAAUGAUGUUGUAGUAGAAGAAAGUGCAUUGCAAAGCCUUGUUCACCUAUCUCUCACAGAUUGUCCAGAGCUGAAGGCCCUCCCUGAUGGCAUUGAGCAUCUUAGAACUCUAGAAAAAUUAUAUCUGCGAGGAGUUUCCAAAGAUCUCACAAAGAAGCUUCAGAAUAAAGAAAAAACAAAAAAAAAAAAGAGGAGGCUCUAUAGAAGAGAGGUGGCAAGGAAAUUAGAGAAGCAUCUGUGUGCAGAACCUGAGUUAGAAACAAGGGAGAAGAGGAGAGCCUUAUUCGAUUUUCUUGGUCGAGAAUUGAGAUGUUGA